rnacentral:misc_RNA from 1 species
GAUGAAGAACGCAGCGAAAUGCGAUAAGUAAUGUGAAUUGCAGAAUUCAGUGAAUCAUCGAAUCUUUGAACGCACAUUGCGCCACCUGGUAUUCCGGGGGGCAUGCCUGUCCGAGCGUCAUUACAACCCUCAAGCUCAGCUUGGUGUUGGGCCCCGCCGCCCCGGCGGGCCCUAAAGUCAGUGGCGGUGCCGUCCGGCUCCGAGCGUAGUAAUUCUUCUCGCUCUGGAGGUCCGGUCGUGUGCUCGCCAGCAACCCCCAAUUUUUUUCAGGUUGACCUCGGAUCAGGUAGGGAUACCCGCUGAACUUAAGCAUAUCAAUAAGCGGAGGA